CGUGUGUGCCGAGCAAGUUGUUGGCUUGUAUGUUCGUCAGGCUGCGAUGACGUUCAUUUGUGAGGUCGGGCUCGGGCUCAUCGGUGUUGAUGGAGCAUAAAGAAGCACAAUGUUUGAUGAGUGCAUCAUUCACAAGAACGAGACGCCGUCGACCCUGUGAAACAAAUGACGAGGUGAUGAGGGGAUGAGGUGGUUGGCUCAUCAUCUCCGCUCUCGCCGGAAUCAAACUGAAUGUAUCAAGACUGAAUCAUGGUCGCCGAGAUCGAGUCACCAAAGAGAUAAUCUUCACAAAUAAAAUUUAAACCCCAUUAAUAAUUAGACCUUGCAACUCACAAAAAAAAAAUGUAAGAGUUGAUAUGCUUUAUGACUUGAUACUCGGGCUAGCAUAUUAAUUUUUCCUUGCUGCUAGCAUAUUAAUUUUUCCUAGCAAGGGACAAGGGUUUACGUAUGACUACCAUAAUCCAUUAACUUUCCCAAUAAUUUUAAUAAAGCAAUUAGCUGCCAAACUAUCAAUAGACGUGCAUUUUGACGUUUUAAAGAAGGUGGUCUAAUGAUAAUAAUUAGUUAAUAUUGGGAAAACUUAUCUCAAUGUAUCGCUCUUGUCUGAGCUGAGAUGGUGGUGAGCUCUGCCUCAAUGGAUCGUUCUUGUCUGAGCUGAGAUGGUGGUAAGCUCUGUGUUCCACAGAACAAGUCGGCAAAGAGAAGCAAGAGCUUUUAAUGGAGGUGUGAUGACUGAUGUCAUUUCGUCAGAUUCUUUGCUGUUCGAGAAGCCAAGCUUAACGACGGGUUGGAAUGCGUUUUGCGCGGUGAACAAUCUUGUGAAGCCGAGUGGAAACAUAACAUGGCAGUAUUAAGCUGGAGCACGCCUUGUAAGGUGUUGCAGUCUUCACUCUCGCAAAGCGAGUCAUGGCGAGAAGAAGCUGUUGACUUUGGAGCUCAAUUUAGUAAGAAUAAAGCUUUGAAAAACAGAGCUCAAGUCGUCAAUAAGCUGUCCUUGAUGGGGCUUGAAGGAUCAAGUCUUUGCCGUGUCUCGUGUCUGAACAACAGCUUGGAGACCAAAGGUAUGAGCGAAGCAGUUGCUCAUCUGACCAGACAAGAACUCGAUCCAACAACGCAGUGAAGAACAUGUGUUUCUCAAGGCAGAUCAAGUGGUUGCUCAUCCGAUCAGAAGUUGAUGAGGAGGAAGAUGAUUCAGUGGAAGCCGAGCCAGAUAAGUUUCUGUUUGCUAUUUGCUUGUCUGGAGCUGGAGCUGCGUAUGAAUUACGUCGCUGCGAACGGAGAGGUAGUGAAAGCUGAGGAGAUCGCGGGAGCCGUAAGAUCUCUGACGGACGGUGAGGAUACGCCGGGGAAGAGAAUGAAGGAGAUGGCGGAAGCUGCGAGGAUGGCUCGUCUUCACGGCGGCGACGUUUGAGAUCGUGUGUCUGAUGUCGUUCUCUGGGAUUACGAACAUGAACUGCCAUUGUUGCUUCAUGUUAUUAUCAGCCCACCAAGUGCUCGAUGAAAGUCCCACCCGAAGAAAGCAAAGCUUUCAUGAGAAAGCUUCAUCCUUUAGCUUCACCUAGUGCUCGAUGAACUGCUUCUGCCGGGAUCGGAUCUUCUGAGGAUGAUAUGCCCAAACUGUCGAGAUCAACCCAAGAACGCCGAUAUCAAGUUCUGUCGAGGACUGUCGCGUUAUCAAAGCCGAGAACGUGAGUCUCGAACAGCUUCUCCUAUCUUGUGAUGAACAAACCGGAACGUGAGUCUCGAACAGCUUCUCCUAUCUUGUGAUGAACAAACCGGAACUGACGAGUAUCCACGGUAAGAAACAAGACGACAUCGUUGGUUCAUUCUCUCUCUUUUUCUUUUUUUUUUUUUUUUUUUUUUAUCCUAGAUCUAGGGUUUCCCAAGUUUGAUAUGCUAUCAAGAUUGUUCUCUUUGGCACCCUCCUUCUGGCGCCAACUGUUUGAACCGAAAAUGGUGUGUUUGUCGGAUUCAUACAAUGAAGAAUUUAAGAAAUAGAUUUCUUAGAUUCUUGAGGCUAAAGAGAAAUCAACAUAGAAAUCAAAUGGAAAAAGAACAUCAAAAAGAAUUUAUUGAUUAAAAAUUAUAUUACAUGUAUGAUUACAAGUGUAAAUAAAUCUAAGAAUCAAUAAACUCUUUGUAUGAAGUGUUUAAUAUGUCAAAUGGGAGGAGAGAGAUCUUUUCUCAUAAGGAAGUAACUCCUUAUUUAUAGAAAGAUGAAGCCUAGGGCUUCCCUAGGGCUUCCUAGUAAUAUGAGUCUAGUUCAAUGUCUAAUGGGCCUUGAGGAGGAUGUAAAUCAAUCCCCAACAGUAAGUCCCCCCAAGUUCGUUGAGAGAGAUGGAAUCGAUCUCUGCGAAGUUUACGAAUAGGGUUUAUUAGACAAUGAACUAGACACAUUCAUGCCUAUGACGGUUUAGGCGAGUUUAUUUCGAACUUGUGCCUAGUAAAAAGCGAGUUUGCUUUAAACUCGUGCUUAGCGAAAGACGAGUUUACUUGACUCAUGCUAAGACAGAGGCGAGUUUACUGAGAACUCGUGCCUAGUAGAAGGAGAGCUUCUGUAAACUCAUGCCUAGCCAAAGUUGAGUUUUUGUAAACUCGUGUCUAACAAUAAGCGAGUCGACCGCAAACUCGUGCCUAAUAAAAAGCAAGUUCAAUUUAAACUCGUGCCUAAAAUACAAGUUUACCGAACUAUUGCCGACCCGAAGUCUCGUGUUGAGAUCGUGUGUGCCGAGCAAGUUGUUGGCUUGUAUGUUCGUCAGGCUGCGAUGACGUUCAUUUGUGAGGUCGGGCUCGGGCUCAUCGGUGUUGAUGGAGCAUAAAGAAGCACAAUGUUUGAUGAGUGCAUCAUUCACAAGAACGAGACGCCGUCGACCCUGUGAAACAAAUGACGAGGUGAUGAGGGGAUGAGGUGGUUGGCUCAUCAUCUCCGCUCUCGCCGGAAUCAAACUGAAUGUAUCAAGACUGAAUCAUGGUCGCCGAGAUCGAGUCACCAAAGAGAUAAUCUUCACAAAUAAAAUUUAAACCCCAUUAAUAAUUAGAC
rnacentral:lncRNA from 1 species